rnacentral:rRNA from 1 species
AUUGAACGCUGGCGGCAUGCCUUACACAUGCAAGUCGAACGGUAACAGGUCUUCGGAUGCUGACGAGUGGCGAACGGGUGAGUAAUACAUCGGAACGUGCCCGAUCGUGGGGGAUAACGAAGCGAAAGCUUUGCUAAUACCGCAUACGAUCUACGGAUGAAAGCAGGGGACCGCAAGGCCUUGCGCGAACGGAGCGGCCGAUGGCAGAUUAGGUAGUUGGUGGGAUAAAAGCUUACCAAGCCGACGAUCUGUAGCUGGUCUGAGAGGACGACCAGCCACACUGGGACUGAGACACGGCCCAGACUCCUACGGGAGGCAGCAGGGGGGAAUUUUGGAAAAUGGGCGAAAGCCUGAUCCAGUCAUGCCGCGUGCAGGAUGAAGGCCUUCGGGUUGUAAACUGCUUUUUUACGGAACGAAAAGACUCUGGUUAAUACCUGGGGUCCAUGACGGUACCGUAAGAAUAAGCACCGGCUAACUACGG